CUUGGUGAAUAUAGCUAUGGGGGUACACCUAGUUACAUUCCGAACCUAGAAGUUAAGCCCAUAUACGCUGAUGGUACUUGGCUGGAAGCGGCCUGGGAGAGUAUGGAUUUGCCAAGC
rnacentral:rRNA from 2 species